AACGCGAAGAACCUUACCUGGACUUGACAUGCACAUGAUCGCCGUAGAAAUACGGUUUUCUCGCAAGAGACAUGUGCACAGGUGCUGCAUGGCUGUCGUCAGCUCGUGCCGUGAGGUGUUGGGUUAAGUCCCGCAACGAGCGCAACCCUUGUCGUUAGUUGCCAUCAGGUAAUGCUGGGCACUCUAGCGAGACUGCCUAGGUUAACUAGGAGGAAGGUGAGGAUGACGUCAAGUCCGCAUGGCCUUUAUGUCCAGGGCUACACACGUGCUACAAUGGUCGGUACAGAAGGCAGCGAAGCCGCGAGGCGAAGCAAAUCCCCAAAGCCGGCCCCAGUUCAGAUUGGAGUCUGCAACUCGACUCCAUGAAGAUGGAAUUGCUAGUAAUGGCGGGUCAGCAACACCGCCGUGAAUACGUUCCCGGGCCUUGUACACACCGCUCGUC
rnacentral:rRNA from 1 species